UUAAAGCUACAUCAGUACUAAAAAAACAAAAAACAAAAAAAGAAAACAUCACUAAAAAACACAAAACAAAUAUUUUUAAAAAUAUUGAGAGGCAAUAAAAAUUUCAACAAUCCAUCUCAACUAGUGCAGUCAUCAAAACGCCACAGAGAAAUGCACUAAAAAAGGCAACAAAUUUUACGAUCGACCGACCGCAAUGACAUUAAAAAGUCAAAACAACAACAAGAACAUCGGCGGCAAAGAGGCGUGUAGAGAAAAGUUUUUCAUAUUCUUCUUCUUUUUCCGAAAAGUAAAAUUAAGAACAAAAUCGAGCAUAUAUACAGGAGCGGUUAUGACAUUGGAACUUCUAUGAAUAAAAAUAUGUAUCGUUUUGCGAUUGAUGGCGACAGACAAAUCUGAAAUACCUCAAAUCAAAGAUAUUAUUUCCAUUUUAUGUGGAAUUUCCAUCAGUUGCGAAAAGUUUGGGUUUUCUGCUUCAAUUUAGAAAAACUGUAGCUGCAGGAACGAAUGAUUAGCAAUAGUUACGGAGUAUAUGGUAGAGUUUUUUACGGUCAAAUAUUUUCAGUUCUUUUUGAGAU